rnacentral:rRNA from 1 species
UACGUAGGGUGCAAGCGUUAAUCGGAAUUACUGGGCGUAAAGCGUGCGCAGGCGGUUGUACAAGACAGAGGUGAAAUCCCCGGGCUUAACCUGGGAACUGCCUUUGUGACUGUACGGCUAGAGUGUGUCAGAGGGGGGUAGAAUUCCACGUGUAGCAGUGAAAUGCGUAGAUAUGUGGAGGAAUACCGAUGGCGAAGGCAGCCCCCUGGGAUAACACUGACGCUCAUGCACGAAAGCGUGGGGAGCAAACAGGAUUAGAUACCCCAGUAGUCC